GACGAACGCUGGCGGCGUGCUUAACACAUGCAAGUCGAACGGAAAGGCCCUGCUUUUGUGGGGUGCUCGAGUGGCGAACGGGUGAGUAACACGUGAGUAACCUGCCCUUGACUUUGGGAUAACUUCAGGAAACUGGGGCUAAUACCGGAUAGGAGCUCCUGCUGCAUGGUGGGGGUUGGAAAGUUUCGGCGGUUGGGGAUGGACUCGCGGCUUAUCAGCUUGUUGGUGGGGUAGUGGCUUACCAAGGCUUUGACGGGUAGCCGGCCUGGGAGGGUGACCGGCCACCUUAGGACUGAGAUACGGACCAGACUCCUACGGGAGGCAGCAGUGGGGAAUAUUGCACAAUGGGCGGAAGCCUGAUGCAGCAACGCCGCGUGCGGGAUGACGGCCUUCGGGUUGUAAACCGCUUUCGCCUGUGACGAAGCGUGAGUGACGGUAAUGGGUAAAGAAGCACCGGCUAACUACGUG
rnacentral:rRNA from 1 species